UACGUAGGGGUCUAGCGUUGUCCGGAAUUAUUGGGCGUAAAGAGCUCGUAGGCGGUUCGGCAAGUCGGAUGUGAAAUCUCCACGCUUAACGUGGAGGGGCCAUUCGAAACUGCCGUGACUCGAGUCCGGUAGGGGAGUUCGGAAUUCCCGGUGUAGCGGUGAAAUGCGCAGAUAUCAGGAAGAACACCCGUGGCUAAGGCGGUUCUCUAGUACGGUACUGACGCUGAGACGCGAAAGCGUGGGGAGCGAACAGG
rnacentral:rRNA from 1 species